GUUUUCAUAGUUUAAAAUAAAACAUUGGUCUUGUAAAUCAAAAAUAAGAUUUUUCUUUGUUAACU
rnacentral:tRNA from 1 species